rnacentral:rRNA from 1 species
GUCGAACGGUAACAUUGGUGCUUGCACCAGAUGACGAGUGGCGAACGGGUGCGUAACGCGUAUACAACCUACCUCUUAUUAAGGAAUAGCUCAGAGAAAUUUGAAUUAAUACCUUAUAAUAUCUUAAAAUCGCAUGGUUUAAAGACUAAAGAACUUCGAUAGGAGAUGGGUAUGCGUGAUAUUAGCUAGUUGGUAAGGUAACGGCUUACCAAGGCAACGAUAUCUAGGGGGUCUGAGAGGAUGAUCCCCCACACUGGUACUGAGACACGGACCAGACUCCUACGGGAGGCAGCAGUGAGGAAUAUUGGACAAUGGGCGCAAGCCUGAUCCAGCCAUGCCGCGUGAAGGAUGAAUGCCCUAUGGGUUGUAAACUUCUUUUAUACAGGAAGAAACCUCUUUAUUCAUAAAGAGCUGACAUUACUGUACGAAUAAGCAUCGGCUAACUCCGUGCCAGCAGCCGCGGUAAUACGGAGGAUGCAAGCGUUAUCCGGAUUUAUUGGGUUUAAAGGGUCCGUAGGCGGAAUUUUAAGUCAGUGGUGAAAGCCUACAGCUCAACUGUAGAACUGCCAUUGAUACUGAAAUUCUUGAAUAUAUAUGAAGUGGGCGGAAUGCGUCAUGCAG